rnacentral:rRNA from 1 species
UACAGGGGUGCAAACGUUGCUCGGAAUUAUUGGGCGUAAAGCGCGCGUAGGCGGCUACUUAAGUCGGAUGUGAAAGCCCCUGGCUCAACUGGGGAAGUGCACCGAAACUGAGUGGCUUGAGUGCGAAAGAGGGUCGCGGAAUUCCCGGUGUAGAGGUGAAAUUCGUAGAUAUCGGGAGGAACACCGGUGGCGAAGGCGGCGACCUGGGUCGACACUGACGCUGAGGCGCGAAAGCUAGGGUAGCAAACGGG